rnacentral:lncRNA from 1 species
AAUUCUCCGACCCAACCUAGAAAAUAAUUCACCAUUUUUGGCUUAUAAUCUCUACUCAUGCUACUAUCGCUACCAUUGCUUCCAACGUUCAAAAUUGAACGGCCAACUUGACUCAGAAUUUAAUUUUAUCUAUUUAAAAUCUCGCCAAAAAUCAACCCUAAUUUUUUCAUAUAUAUAGUGGCAUUAGGGAAACAAUUUGAAGAGGCGUGAACUCCCUCCUUUAACCUUAAGCUUCAGCCGCCCUUUUACCCAAAAACAGGGUCGUCACCCGCACCUUUACCCCUAAAAUACUAAAGAUUCAUCCGCCAUUUUACUACAAAAACGAUGGUUCAGCCACCCACUUUCACCCCAAAGUCGAGAGUUUUUUAGCCACCUCUAUUAAUUCACUUCUCUAAUUAAAGACAGAGUACUCUAGUUAUCUUUGUAUUUCUAGCCAUUACGAAGGUUUAUUUGCUUAUUCCGGCGACUAACGAUAGUCUGAGGUAGCGAGUUUGAAGUCGGAGUUCAAUAGUGCAUCUAAGACCCCGCCUCAGUUUACUGCCCACAAAAAGAUACACUUGGAUCAAAAAUGGAAACUCACCGGAGACUCAGCACUACUCAAGUGUGGAGUCGUCAUAUCUCAUAUUCCUGUAGAUGCACCGGAUAGCUAGAAAAACAAGCAAAACACUUAGGAUGCCUCUGACGUCUUUCAUACUUGUUGUUUUUCUUUUUCCAUUCAUUCUUGUCUAGUUUAUAUGAUCCUUGAUUUAUCUGUGUGUGGUUGGGUUGACUUCAAGGUUCGGAUGUUAUAACAUUUAGGAGUCGCCACUAAGUUAAAUUAAUUUCGGAUCUGCUAGUUUAAACUUGUGUCUCAUUCCUUAGUUCAUUAACAUGGUUAUUUUGCUUAAAACUUGUAAGAGCAGGCUUUGGCUAAAUCUUGGCUAUCUAAACUAUUUUACUUUUUUUUU